UACGUAGGCAGCGAGCGUUGUUCGGAAUUACUGGGCGUAAAGAGUGUGUAGGCGGUGCUCUAAGUUCGGUGUGAAAUCUCCCGGCUUAACUGGGAGGGUGCGCCGGAAACUGGAGUGCUCGAGCGUGGGAGAGGAAAGCGGAAUUCCUGGUGUAGCGGCGAAAUGCGUAGAUAUCAGGAGGAACACCUGCGGUGUAGACGGCUUUCUGGACCAUUGCUGACGCUGAGACACGAAAGCGUGGGUAGCAAACAGG
rnacentral:rRNA from 1 species